AACGCCGCGUGUUUUCUCUCUUCCUCCAACCUGGCUAGGGUUCCCAGCCCCAUCUUCUCCGCCGCCGCCAUGUAAUCCUCUCCGACCUCGCCUGGAGCAGCCAGCAAGAUGCCGCCGCCGUGGCCGCCUCUCUCCCUUCUCUCCUCUUUUUCCCUACCUUUCUCUCUCCUCUAAAGUCUAAACUGUGUGCAGGUCCUCUCCACAGGUGCUGCCAUGGCCGUGUCAUGGAGCUCGCCCCCGUGGGAUGCAUGCCCCUCCAAUGACGCCCUGUCCAGGUCCUCUGGAUCCCGAUUUGAGUGUGUUAUUUUGCGUCCGAUCCUGAUUUGGACGGCAUUUUUUGAGGCACCGCGAGCGCGCUGGACGGCAAAAAGGGUUGCGUCAAGGAGCGACGCAUUGUUGUAAGCCUGUAGCACACCAUUGUUGCUACUCCCACCUCGAUGGUCUAUCUCAUGGGUUGCAGAUAGGAUGUGAUAUUCUGCAGCGUGGACAUCGCCUAGCAAUCAGAUUUGAUGUUGAGAAAGAUCCGGCAGGAAGAUCUCAUCCUGGAACCCAGGAGUGCUUGAUUUGAUAUUGAGAAUUCUACUUGCUAGCAGUGUACAUGUUUCUUAUGAUGCCCGUGUGCGUUUACCUUGUCAAGAAGUUCCGCGUGAAUGUCAAUGCCGAUGAAGACAAAGGUGCUCUGCUUCGAUCCCUUCUUUUGAUUUCGCAAAAUGGAAAACACAAGGGUGUCUGGAAAUUGAGAUCGUUGGUUCACCAUCAGAAGCUUCGCAUGAACGUCAAUGUCGAUAAUGACAAAGGUGCUCUGUUUCGCUCCCUUCUUCUGAUUUUGCAAAAUGCAAAACACCAGGGUGUCUAGAAAUUGAGAUCGUUGGUUCACCAGCAACACAGUCAGUAUUAUAAAACAGAUUGCAUGGAUGCUUUAUUUGUGUGUUCGAUGUAGUCUAAUUUGAUAUACGCGGUGAUGGUAUUGAAUCUGCAAAGAAAAUAUAUACUCAUUUCCUAAUUGCAUCUUUUAAUCAGGAGCCCAGGACCAACCUUUAGGCAGGAAAGAGGGACAAUCUUCAGUAAAGUACAAUUUUCAUGUCUUCUUAUAACAUUUGACUGAUGUGUUAUGGUAUCAUUCUUCUACUUUCACAGCUAUUACUGUGAAUGUGUUGACGUCAUGUCUUCUCAUCAUUUGAGCUUACUUCGAUAUUAUUGAUUCUAAAUCCAGCAAGAUCUUGAAUAUUUUUUCACUUUGCCCAUUCAAAAAUUUGUUCACCUAGCAACAUUCAUGAUGUAAGCUUUGAUUUGAAAAACAACUUUUAAUGUUAUAGGACAGACAAAGAAGAAGGUUAGGGAGGACAUGCCCGAGAAGCUCAGAGAUAAGGCAGAGGUUGGGGACACAUAGGGGAAGCCUUGAAGGGGGAGAUAAGCAAGCUCAAGCACUAUGAGCAUGGGAUGACAGAGCGGCCGACCAAGGCGGUUGAGAGCAGGCGUGUGCGAGAGGAAGUGAACUGGGGAGAGGCAACAGGGGGCAUCACUAGGAAGGCAGCAGGUGGCAUGCAACAUUGGCCUUAUCUCUUAUGUUCGCCAAGGUGGCCUGUUGUUUCCACAAUAUGUUUGGAUUGUCA
rnacentral:rRNA from 1 species